AUUGAACGCUGGCGGCAGGCCUAACACAUGCAAGUCGAGCGAGCGGCGGACGGGUGAGGAAUGUCUGGGAAACUGCCUGAUGGAGGGGGAUAACAACUGGAAACGGUAGCUAAUAUCGCACACCAUCACAUCUGCCCAGAUGGGAUUAGAUAGUAGGUGGGGGAACGGCUCACAUAGGCGACGAUCCCUCGCUGGUCUGAGAGGAUGACCAGCCACACUGGAACUGAGACACGGCCCAGACUCCUACGGGAGGCAGCAGUGGGGAAUAUUGCACAAUGGGCGCAAGCCUGAUGCAGCCAUGCCGCGUGAGUGAAGAAGGCCUUCGGGUUGUAAAGCACUUUCAGCGGGGAGGCGUUACCCACAGAAGAAGCACCGGCUAACUCCGUGCCAGCCGCCGCGGUAAUAC
rnacentral:rRNA from 1 species